rnacentral:rRNA from 1 species
GACGAACGCUGGCGGCGUGCCUAAUACAUGCAAGUCGAACGCAGUGGGGACGGGUGAGUAACACGUGGGUAACCUCCCAUCAGAGGGGAUAACACUUGGAAACAGGUGCUAAACCGAUACUGAUGGAUGGACCCGCGGGACAUUAGCUAGUUGGUGAGGUAACGGCUCACCAAGGCCACGAUGCAUAGGAGACCUGAUAGGGUGAUCGGCCAACAUGGGACUGAGACACGGCCGAGACUCCUACGGGAGGCAGCAGUAGGGAAUCUUCGGCGAGGGAGGAAAGUCUGACCGAGCAACGCCGCGGGAGUGAAGAAGGUGUUCGGAUCGUAAAACUCUGUUGUUAGAGAAGCGGUAUCUAGCCAGAAAGCCACGGCUAACUACGUGCCAGCAGCCGCGGUAAUUG